rnacentral:lncRNA from 1 species
UCCCUUUCUUUGAUCCCUAUCUUUUUCUUUUUCUUUUUCUUUUCACAUCCACAUAACCAUGAGCAUUUUCUUUUCUUUUUUCUUUCUUUUCUUUUUAUUUGCUCUAUGGUUUUAAGGGUGAUUUCUUUUUCUUGUUUCUUUUCAUAUUUUUACCCUUUCAGAAAAACUCACUUUUCCAAGUUUCUAAUCAACUCUUCUUUCUUUACUCUCCCCAACUUUAGAUUCCAAAACCAAAUUUAUUCAAUAAUGCUCCCUACUGAGACAUAAGCAAAAGACAAAAUUUGCAAACAACUCGGUUUGAGGGUUCAAUUGAUACGAAAGACAUUAGGAUUCAUUUAUUCAAAAAAUUUCAAUUGAUUUAACAAUGAUCAAUCAAAUGAAUCCUAAAAUAAGCUCAAAGGGGUUUAACUAAGGAUUACUCCUCACAAGGUUAGUUGAUUCAAACUUUUUGGUCAA